UAUUAUUAUUAAGGUGAAUAUUAAUGCUAAGGUAGUAGUAGUUAUGUUCUUGAAACUUAAAGAAUUUGGCGGUGUUUUAGUCUUUUCAGAGGAAUCUGUUCUAUUAUUGAUAAUACACGAUUGGUUAAACUUAAUUUUGUGGUCAGUUUGUAUAUCGUCGUCAUAAGAAGAUUUUUGAAGAACUAAAAUUUUCUUUUCUUUUGAUUAAAAGUUAUGUCAGAUCAAGGUGCAGCUAAUAGUUAAGAAGUAAUGGAUUACAAUAAUUUUAAUUAUAAGGAUAACAUUUAUAAUUUUUGUUUGAAAGUGGAUUUGAUUGUAAGUUUAAAUCAAUUUUAUUCUGAUUUUGGCUCUAGAAUGUGUACAUAUCGCCCGUCGCUCUCAUUUUAUGGUGAG
rnacentral:rRNA from 1 species